AACGGUCGACCACCGAUACAGCCGACGUUCAACGCGCAACGACAGGUACCCGGCCGUGCCGUUUAGUACCGGUCAACCGAACGCGGUAUAUAUAUACGUACCGGACCAUAUUGUAUUUUAUAUGCGAAAUGAUGUUGUUACCACUGCGGUUGUGUGUGGGCACCCGUGCGAUUAUUAUCGCCAAAAUGGACAAACGUCCGUUCGGCGGUCGCACGGUGGUUGCGUGUACUACGCCGACGCGCGUAACAUGAUCGCCGUUAUCGCCCGCCUCGUGUGUCCGGCGUGAAUUUCGGU